UUUUUCCAGCGAGGAGGAUUUCAUCGAGAGUUUAAUAAAGAAUAACGUGCAGCUCUUCCUGUCGACUGACAGAAACGAGGCGCCGCAGGCAUCACAGAAAGGUCAGGAAGUUUUCUUUCUUCUUCAUAUAAUCUGGAUUAUCAAUUCUGUUAAUCCCGUCUCUCUCUUUUAGUUUGACAAAUUCACAGUUUAUUGAUGUGGCAGAGUGAAUCAUCCUCCUUGUCAUUGGACCAGGUGUUCUCUCGGCGCUGCUGGACCGGCAUGUAGCUGCUCCGUCAGAGCAGCUCAGAGUAAUGUUCUGCUGGGACGCCGUCGUCCAGCCCGACACCGGCCCAAUGCCGGCGAGCCGACAGGCCGCUCAGAGUUUCUCGGCUCAGCUCGGCGAGAUGAGGCGGAGGUUCGGCAUGUUGGACAGCCCUCUCAGCAUCGUCUUGGUGACGUCACGUGGCGGCAGGGAAAGCUGCGGCGGCGCCCUGCGGACGCUGCGAUCCCACGGCCUCAGCGUGGACGAGGCGUACUGCCUGGCCGGGGCCCCGCGGAGCCCCAUCCUGUCCGUGAUCCGACCUCACUUCCUGCUCAGCGACAGCUUCAGUUGCCUGGAGGACUGAUGACAUCAUGAGGAGGAUGUACUGUCACUUGACUUUAAAAAAAAUAAUACUUCACUGUCUUUUUGAAACAAGCUGCUAACAUUUGCUCAGCUUGUUUCUGUGAGAACUUAAGAUCCAGACAUCUGAGGACUAAAAUCCUUCAUCCGGUUAAAAUAUAGAGUCAAAAUCAACCAAGCUUCUGGCAGAGAAUGUGUGGCCUUUAGAGGGUGGCCAAAUGAAACGCACCCUUUCCUUGAUUAAAAUGACAUAUUUCACUAAGCUUGAAAAUUGUUGGAAAGAUUUGGGAUGAUAUAAGUUCACAACUCAACAAUGCAGAGACGUAAUAUAAUACAUUUAAUGCUGAGAAGAAAAUGCAAGUUUUUAUAUUCUACACUACAUAAAUUGAUUGUGUUUGACCUUUGAUGACCCUUAAUGCUGGUACUGCUGAGCAGAAGCUUCAUCAGUUUUAUAACUUGUACGUAUGUUGUUGAUUUAGAAACUUUCAGUUGUUUGUCUGUUGCUUGCAGCUGUCUGUAUUUUGUCCGUCACUUAUCAGCUCAGCCUCCUGUGUGUUAAAACUGAUAUUACUAUUACGGAGCAUCUGAAGUCCUGAAAGAUGAUGUAUCUUGUUACAUUAAAACAUCUUAUGACUAGUGGUAUACCUGUGGUCUUAUUGAUGUAUAGAUAUGUACUAUUUUCACAUAUAAAUAUUAAAAAGAAAGGGCAAUGCAGUCGUUGUGUUUUUGUUGCU
ensembl:lncRNA